GGGGAGUGCCCGGAGCAGUCAUUUGUGCCAUGAAACCUUCUCAGCCCGGUGCUGCCAGGCCCAGGUUUUGUAGAGUCACAGAACCGUGGGAUCCUUGGAGUUGGGAGGGACCCUGAAGGCCAUCAGGUCCAACCCCCGCACUGAGCAGGGACACCCACAGCUCCAUCAGUGCUCAGAGCCCCAUUCCCUGACCUUGGGUGUCUGCACCACCUCUCUGGGCAGUCUGUGCAGUGCCUCACCACCCUCACUGCAAAAAACUUCUUCCUUAUAUCCAGUCUAAGUCUCCUCUCUUUUAGUCUGAAACCAUUUCCUUUUGCCUCAUCAAAACAGACCCUGCCAAAGAGUCUGUUCCCUUCUUACAGCCCCUCUUUAGAUACCGAAAGCCAUUCUAUGAGUCUAUAACAUCAGUGCAAUCACGUACUGCCUCACUCUGUGACAUCAGGUAGGGCUGUACAGUUUGCUCCUUCUCCUGUGCCCUAGAUGCACAACAGAAACUGAAAUGCUCUAGCUAAGUGCUAGGUUUGAUAAAGUUAUUUCAAAUGCAUACUCAGAGUGAAGAUGGAGGCAACGAACGUCAGGAGUGAGAAUGCUGCAAAACACAUCCCAAAGAAGUCUUCUGUGCUAAGGAUGGUGAGGCACUAGCACAAGCUACCCAGAGAAGUGGUGAUGCCCCAUCCCUGCAGACACCCAAGGUCAGGCUGGAGAGGCUCUUAGCACCUGAUGGAGCUGUGAGUGCCCCUGUGCAUUGCAGGGGGUUGGACCAAAUGGCCUUUAGGGUCCCUUCCAGCUGAAACAACCCCAUAUUCUAUGAUCCUAUGAAAGAACCAUAAAGCCAUUCCCCUCAUAUGGAAAUAUGCCAUCCCCUGAUGUCAGGAAGUCACUUCUAUAAUAAUAAACUGUUUCCAGUAUCAAGACUGUUGUGUUUGUUUUGUUUUGUUUUCCUAUCAAUCUGGGGCUAAGAAGGAGCUGAAUCCUAUGAAAGAAACAGAACAUAUGUGAACAUUUGCUGCCAUAAGUAAAGGCAAAUGCACUCUUGACAGUAUCCCAAGAUUUUUCUCCCUUGAAGAUUUCUAUAGGCACGUUUUUGAUCACAAGAUUGGAAUAUGUCAUGAGCGCAUUCAAAUAUUCAUUUGCAUUGAUAUUGUUGCCAGAAGCCAUCUCACAGCCAUCAUCAGACAUUUUGGAGCCCCUACAAAGCUUUCUGUGGGAUUGGAAGGCAUCCAACCAGGGGGAAGCAAAGCCACCAUGAGAUUUGGACAGCCAGUUCCCCGAGAAAACUGCACAUUAAUGAAUGGCAAGCACUCAAAGUAGUAGUUAUGGUGAAUAACUUGCAAGCAAAUUAUUGGCUGAGAACCAUCGUGUAUUUAAGCUAUUUGAUAAAUGAAAUUUUGAAAGAAGCCUGUUUAAAAAUAAUCCAUUAAAAGACAGCAGGCUUA
ensembl:lncRNA